UGAAGUUAGGCAAAACUGUUGGUGCUCUGACAGAGCUUAGCAGAAGACAUCGUCACCCCAAGGAACAAGUGGCAUGAUUCAAGGCAGAAUGAAUGGUCCAGGAGGCUCCUCUCCCUUCAGCAGCAUCACCACAGAGUUCCAUAAGGGAGGGACACAGGCUGAGUUCCUGAGUCAGGAUUUGGCUACAGACUAACACUCAACUGAUCCUAAGGGGCAUGAAGGAGGAGGAGCCUCCAGAGUGUCUUGAUAAGCUGAUUUUUAUGUAAACGUGAAGACAUGGCUGUAAAUAUUGCACACCGAAAGCUGUAGGUAUAUGUAGGAGCCAUCUAAAGAAAGGGACAUGGAGAAACUGUCCACGCUGGCCUCCUGCCACCAGCAAAAUGGUGCCAAUGUAACUCCACAGGGAUGUGAAGCCAAUGUUUGUGAAAGCUUCCAGAAGAGGAGAGGCAAGAAGGACACAGAAAAGAAUGAGCACCUGGCGAGGGCAACCGUUUGCCUGUCAACUGGAGGAAUGAGAUGAAUGCGAGGAACCUUCAUGCAUUUUCAGAAGGGGAGACAGGAAUUACCUAGCUGCGCUUUGUAGAACUCAGCUGGUAUAAGAGGAUGUCCACUGACCUUCCCCAUGAAGCAUCUGUAAUUACGGCUGCAGGGGAGCAGUCACGGGCACCGUGAAAUAAACAACAAAAGAGCCAUCAAGGAGCCUGUGCUGCAUACAAAGCAUAGAAGCUGUGUGACCAGCAUACGCCAUCGCCUCCUUGGAAACGGUGCAGUGUGCUAAGAUGGCUAUGCUUUGCAACUUUUCUGCUUGCAUCAAUCUCCAAAAUCAAAUAUAAUUCAAAUGUCAAGUGUGAGAGGAGGAAGGUCUUAAGAGGCUUGGAGAGCACGUGGUGAAACCAUUAGUGUUCACUGUCAAGUUAAACGGAUUUAGCAUAACCAUGGAAAUACAUCUCAGACUCUGUCUGUGAGCAUGUUUCCAGAAAGGCUUAACUGAGAAGGCAAGAUUCAUCCUAAAUAUGGGCAGUACCAUCUCAAGCACUGGGUCCUCAGACUGCAUGAUGAACUGACUGUACCUUCAAACUGAGCCGAAAAUAAACUCCUCCUUCUGUAA